AGCCUGUGCCAGGGCAUCACCACCCUCACAGGAAAGAAUUUCUUCCUAAUAUCCCAUCUAAACCUACUGCCAGUUUGAAGCCAUUGCCCCUUGUCCUGUCACUCCAGGCCCUUGUCAAGAGUCUCUCUCCACCUGUCCUACAGGCUCCCUUCAGGCACUGGAAGGUCACAAUGAGGUCUCCCCAAAGCCUUCUCUUCUCCAGGCUGAACAAUCCCAAUUCCCUCAGCAUGUCUUCAUAGCAGAAGUCCUCCAUCCAGCAGGUCCAUGUCCUCCAUGUGCUGGGACCCCAGAGCAGCUGUACAAGCUGCACGAGAGGACAAGAACACAGGACUGGGCAGCAAAGCAGGAGCAAGAAAGCAGAAACCUGGACUUAGCUCUACAUUCUGGUGAAAGCACACCCAGGAUCCACGGGCCAGUCCUUGCCACUCCAGUGUAGGUGUCUCUCCGUGUGUGACUGCGAAGCACUCCUCACACAGAGCCAAGUGCUCCCUCGGCAGCCCACACACACCAGCAGCAGCAGAGCAGGGGGGUUUUACACCCUCAGUCCUGGCUCUCUGCUAGGAACGCGUCUGCUGCCCUCCCAGGUGAGAAGUGAGCACUAGGGGUAUUCUAAUUGGAUCCACAACCAUUUUCAAAUGAGUGAUUGUUUUUAUGGUUUUAUGUUUCCUUGUCUCAUUAUUGCCACUGACUGUGCCAUUCCAGUGAACCCACAGCCAGCCUUCUUCCUGUAGGAAAGGGCUGGCUCUGAGAGGGUGUUGCAUGGAAGAGAGGUGAAUUAGGAGGCAGCCCCUGUGACCAACUCUGAAAACAAGUAACAACACGUAGGAGAUCCUCAGAAAAGCCCUGGAUAUCUCCUCAAACCACCUGCAAAGUCUAGCAGGGAAAUACUUCAAAUGUAAGGGAAGGGGAAGACAUUCUUGUGACCUUGUCUUUCAGAUCAAGCUGUGAAAAGCUGUAUAAAUCAGGAGUUAAAAGGCUGUUACUGAUACACAUCAGUCUUAAAAAUGCUUUUUAUAACUAGCUUUACCAAUCAGUACUACCUUAUUUCAAGGUUUAUAGUAGUAAUUACAGCCCAUAAAUGUUGUACUUAAGAUUUAGCAUUAGUUCCUAAUACUGUCAUUAACACAGCAUAUUAUAAAAAAAAAAAGGUAGAGCCAUACAGGUACAAACUUAAAAAAAUUAAGAAACAGCACACACUGAUGAAUACUGAUAUUCUCUAUUUCAGUAUUAUUUCCCCUUCUCUGUCAAUGCGCAAAAAUUACAUCCACCUACUUUCAUGUUCAGUACACCUUCAGUACACAAGUGUGGAUUAAUUUAAAGCAUUCAUUUUCUAUCAGCUGAGAAAUAUUAAUAACAUUUCUUUGAUGCAUUAUUUAAAAUAUUUUUCCCAUUUUAAUAAACAAGUUUCAAUCCAUAAGAAACAACUAGAGAGAUUUUCAUCCUUCCUCCCUCCAUUUUAAUUUUUCUGCGUAUGAAUGAGGGGGCAGAGUCUGUUUCCCAACACCACCCUUCCAGUUUCUCUAAAACUGCACUCCUUGCUGGCUUCAUGAUCUUCAGAUAUUAGCUGAGCAAUCAGGAUCCUAAGAUUGCCUUUUGGAAGUCUUUGAAGACAUAACUCUGUCUCCUCUUGACUGGCCUACAGCUUCCGUUUGCUCAGCCCUGUGGCAUGUAACACCACUUCUCUCUUUCCCCUCCCAGGUCCCACCUUAUCAGAUGGCAAUGCUGAGGAGUAAAAUGAGGUCUGUGUGCCUCAAAUUCACCCCAAGCUCCUGAAUUCAGUGUGGCAGUGAGAAAUCAGAGGAUGAGGCAACUUAAUAGUGGCCUGUAACAGUGGAAAAUUGAGCCAAUAAAAUUUCCUUCACUUUUUUUAUGACACGGUCACAAAGCAACAUUGCUGGCUGAGAAAUGCCAAGUCCUCACGUCCCCCGGCCUACACAGGUGUGCAUGGCAUAUUCUAAUUGGACUGGUGCACACCUUCCCAUCCAUGAGAGACUUCCCCCAGGAAGCUAUAGGCACCAGGCAAAUGAAAUCGGAGACUCGGCUCCUUCGCCUUCCCAUUACCUGCAACACGCUUUGAUCAGCGGGGCAUAAAUAAACACAUAAAUGUCCCAUCUCUCCCAAGGUCAAUGAGAUGCAGCGGAGUUCCUCCAGUCACCUGAAGGAGUUCAUUGGACUAGGCAUGGGGCAAAAUGCUUUGCUGUGCUUAAAAAAAAAAUCACUGGAUGUAACAGCAAAGGGUAUGAUGAAGUUUGACCACUGUAGUUUGGGAAAGCUAAGAGCAAUAGAGAGCCUGAAGGACAAAGGGUUGGGAUUGUCAGUGGACCAUGCCCAAGAAGGAGAGAAGAGCCAGAGCUCUCCUUCUUGCAGUCCUCUUCCCAAACACCUUCCUAUAUGGAAAAUUUGGUCUAACCUCUGCCAGACUGAUGCACUUGAGGAACCCAGCUUUCAGCACAGAUCUUUGCUGCCUAUUCAUGAAGCCAGCACCUCAGCUCUUCCACUUGUGCCAGCAAAGGUGCAGUUACAGCUAUCCCCACAGCAGGACAUGCAGCACUGCUGCUUUUGAUGCAAACAUGGGGAAUACCCCAGCAUUCCAAACCUUUGGCUAUUCCUGCACUUGCCCUAACAGAAGGUGGCAAAGAUGCAUCCUGCUGUUUUAAGUCUUGCCUCUCCUCAUGGCUAGGGCUUAUGAGCAGUUAAACAUGGGUGCAGUCAGUAGAAAUUUCAAGCUAGUGGGGCCCACAUAGCUGUUAUCAUCAGUCACAUAAUCCAGGCUGGAAGGGGAACACACAUUAGGAUUCUGGGAGCUCUCCUUCCUACAGUGCCCCACUGCAGUCAUUCACUAAAAGGAGUUUCUACAGAAGACUUAGAUUGUAACCGGUUUUGGCAUAUUUUAGGGCAACCAAGAAUGGCCCCAUCCUUCAGAAUUUCCAAUUCUGUAUUCUAGCUGUUUGCAGCAGUUUCUGCCUGUCUGAGGGUCAUCUGUGCAGAUGGGGUAAUAGUAAACCCUCCUACCUCCCAGCCAUACUCUGAGGAUUAGGCAGGGAGUGGCUGCUCAGUGUACUGAAUAUGCAAAGGCCUGUUAUAAACCCCAUAUCUGAUUGCAACCAUAAGCAAAGUCUUAUUUAAGCAAUCCCUUCCUCAACAAAAAUAUAUCAGCUGCUCACUCUAUUCUUUCCUUCCAUGUCUUUUUUGCCUCCAAGUUCUUCCAGAUAACAAAACACAUUACUAAGAUAUUUUCCUUUUGUGCUGUAAAGUUGUUUACUACAAAUAAUAGAGAUUUUUUUCCCACAAUGUAGUGUACAUACUUAGUUGUUUUGGCUCAUUCUGGUAUCACACUUGUACUGGAGGAGUCUCACUGCCCAGUCAGUGAAAGCCUCACUCCCAUAAUCUCACACAUGUCAGAUAUUCACAUUCUAAUAGACAUAUCUAAUAGGUCUAUUUCUCACUGUGCUCACAUUCAGGGGAGACCCCUUCUCCAAUUCCAUCAAUUUUAUGAACUUAGGACAGAGAGCAGCAGUUAUUUCUUGCUCCCACUAAACACAAAACUGUAUUUCUCUACCAAACCAUAGUUUAAUACCAAGCUGGUGUUUUUGCAUGUAAUUUGCUUGACACUUCUGUAUUUCUCUCCCACAUCAGUUAAUAAUUUUUUUCGCCUUUUAGUGCAUUUUGUUCACUCUUUUUAGCAAUCACAACAAAACCUUUUACAAUGCCACCUUUUAAAUUAAGCUUUCAAAGGCAACGUUCUAGUAAAAUGCAGUUAUGAUACAUUUCAGAGCAGAUUUGCUUCCAUACUGCCUUGCUGAAUGUGAGAUUUCUGAUCAUGCCAGUUUUCACUGCAUACACAAUGCAGUACAUCUUGCCUUUUCUUGUUCUGGUCUCUUCUAAAGUCAUUUGGCUAUGACUAUCAGAGUCAGAAUCAAUCCAUCUUUCCCCUUUUACACUCAGAUGCUUAUUUUCAUGUCUGAUAUCACUGUUAUCACCCACUCAGCAACUGGAUAGGCAGAAAAGACGCUGGUAGAGAACUCAUUGUGCAGGGGCAGAAGACAAGAUGAACUGUAGGAGUGAUGCGAGAGGACAACUGCCUUCCCAGAUGGCACCAAAACAAGCAGUGUUCACCCUGUGCCUACAGGAAUGCCCUACAGCCUCCCGCACAUGCCCUGACAGAAUAUUCCCUCUUCCCAACUGUGCCCAGGGAUGAGAAGAGAGUGACAGGACAGGCAUGUAUUCCCUAUACACAUCACCAUUUGCUAUUAAGAAAUUACUAUGUGACUUGAGGGUAAACCCAUCUCCCUCAAUCACUUGCACAAUUAAGAAAACAUGCCACAACCUGUAAUUUGUUGUAAAAAUAUGGGAUGGUCCCACUUCCCUUUGCCUGUCUCCCCACAGCAUCCUCUCUCUGCCCCACAGUUUGUCACAGCACAGAGCCAUAAAAGGGCUGUGUGCUAUACUGCAGCCUUGCCACUGCCACCCCCCUUGCCCAUCCUGAAAUUCUGCUUGCCUAUAACCUGAGACAUGCCUUUCCAGGAGAAAACACCUUGCCUUGGAGUUGGACUUUAGUGAUCCUUGUGGGCGCCUUCCAACUCAGGAUAUUCUUCAGUCUUGUGGGGAGGAGUAGAGAAAGGAGAGAAAAGUGCAGCAUUCUCAAAGCACUCUAAGAUCUACCAGCUCUAUUGUAUCCAGACUCAAGCCUGAGAUAUCUUCACGUGCAAAGCAAGUCACAGAAAAAGAGAACAACCAAUGAGAAGAGUUACUUGAACCAUGAGCCAUACCAACUAUCAGGACUGAAUCCUCACUGUUCUAAAUACUGUGCACUGCUCCUGUCCUGAAGCGCUGGCAGCAUACUCAGAACACCCUUUCUCCCCUAAAUCCAGCAACAGACUGGAAAUAGACACAUUGCACUUUCACAACUUCACCAGCAGCCUGGCAGCCCUCACCUGUAAAACCAGACUGUGUUCUUGGAGCACCUCAGAAAGAAGAGUGACUCAAAUCUUGCAGAUGGAUUACAUUUCAUAGUCUAGAGCUACCCUUGGAUGCCUGCACUAUGGAAUACCUACAGCAAAACAAUCUGCAUCUAAACUCAGGCUUAAUCCAAGGAUUUAGCCUGGAGCCCAGACCCACUAAUGACAUCUGAUGCUACAGCAUCAGAGCUUUGCUAUAGGCAUCUUUUUCCUGUGAAAGCUAUAAUCUUCCCAUCUAUUCUUUCAAAGUUUCCACGAGCCCCUCAUCACAGACAUCAAUCUCUAGUGAAGAUUUAAGGCCCCAAGUAAGAUUUAAGCUAUUCAAAAAACCUCUGUAGGCAUUUUUGAUCAUUACACCUGUAAAGGUGAGUGUAAAGCACACAUACCAUAUAGCUUACACAUCCUGAUUUUUCUGCCACUGCCCAGCAAGGUCACGGGAAAAGCGUUUUCUUCUACUCCUCCCAACAGUGGCCUUAGUGUUAGCUUAACACUGCUUUGUGCACCUAUUUCUAUUAUCCAGUGAAUAUGCAAGUGUAGCCAUGGCAGCCACUUUGUGGCAGAUGUAAACAGGGACCAUGUCUAACUAGUUACAGGUCUGCUUGUAACCUACACUCAUGUCCCCUGAUUAUCCCUGGGCUUCUGCAACCUAAACAAAUCAUGCCCUAACAUAACAGGAUCCUAAUCCCCUCCCCUGCCUCCACAGGGGUGUAUUUUGGAUUCAUAAACUCUACUGCUGGAUUCAUUGAUGAAGCAGGAGCUUUCCCACCCCUCACCUCCUUCAGUCACACCCUGUGCAAGGCUGGGUCUGCUCACCAGUGCACAGCUCUGCUCUGCCCAUGGAGGGCAGCUCGUGGAUCCCACUGGGCACCACCCCAGCCUGGCCCUGGUAGAGAUUUGGGAAUUUCUGUGUAUGAUCAGCAUUAGGAACCCCAGUGUUUAAUGACUCUGAACACCAGCAAGGUCGUGGGCAGUCAAUCUCACACACUCAGCCCCUGCCUGCAGGUGGGUGUUCAAUCUGAGAUCACAAAAAGGUGGUUUGGUGUCCAAAUGUCACACAUUUCUCUGUGACACUGCAAAAAGGAUAUGUUUUCAGGAAGGGAAUUUAUGGCCAUCUCUGCUUGAAUGCAGUAUUCUCUCAGCAACAGGUUCCUGUGCUUCCUCCCAGCUGAGUUCCCUCCUUGUGUGCUAUCCAAUUACAGUUUCUUCAGCCACUCCUCCUCAACCUCUCCUAGCAUCAGAACACCCUCUAUUUUGUAUAUGUUUACAUAUGCAUGUCUGUUUAUCUAUGGACAUUUGUACACAUGUCAUGGUAAUCACCUUCCCUCUUCUAAAUUUUUCCCACUAUCAAAACGAAUAACCCUCCCCCUGACCUUGCACUGAAAUUGUACUAAAGUCAUGAGAAUUUCUUCUUCAACUUCAUCUCACUUUUAAUCCAACCACCCAAACAUGAGGUCAAAGCAAGUCUCCACCACAGGCUCUGUUCCUCAUCCUGCAGUGUUCUGCAUGGGACUUGAAGGAAUGGUGUCUAAAAGAACAGAUGGGGAACGGAUUUUGUCUCAGCAAACCAAUUCUACUCCAAGGGCAAGAAAGCUGGAGCCACUUGUUAAUGAAAAAGACAAGAUGAAUGAAGCUUUCCCAAAAGGGCACCCCACCUUGCUCAGCACUCACAUCUAGAAUGCAUGAAUGCAUUAACUUACAAUUUUUCUGCACCAUUUAACCCUACCCUACAUAGCAGUGUGUCACAGCCAAGACUCAGACCUUCCUCUUACACUAAAUGUUCUUUCCCACACAACAAAUUUCAACACGCACUUCUUGACCAAAGACAUAAAAGCACCUGACCUAAACCCAGUCCUGGCUAAACCCAGUUCUCCCAAGCCACACAACAGAGUUAAUCUGCACUACUGGGUAAAUCACGGCAGCUGCUCUUAUACGCCAGCUGCAGGAGGAAAGCAAAAAGAUACAGUGCCCUCUAUGAAGAUUUAAAGGUAAGGCGUGCUUGCGACAGCUCCUAGUUUUACCAACUCUUCACCUUGCCAAAAGGAGUUCCAUCCUCUGCCCUUUUAUCUCCUGGCAGUAGAGGUGCAUGUGUGGUCUCACAACAAACCGCAGCAGAGAACCAGCAGAGAUGACUACAGGCAGGCACGACAGCUUCUUUCAACAGCAGUGCCAGCUGAGAGGAUUUGUGCAACCACAGCCUGUUUAUCCAAGCACAGAAAUGUAGGAACUAAAUGUGUGAUUCCCUCUGGCAUCUAAUCCUGCUAUUGGAAAAGGUGGUCCCUCACCACGUUUCUCAUGUGCAGUGUCAUGCUACACUUCUUCAGAAAUCUCUCUGGCCACAAGGCAGAUGAAUCCAACUUCUAUACUUUUUUUCUUUAGGGAGGGGGGUUAAUAUUCAGUUGGAGCAGUGACUGGACUGAUCUGAGGCCACAUGGUCACCAGAGCUGAUCCCAGCGAAGCAGCAGUAGCUUGCAGUCAGGACUGGAUGCGAACUGGAUCGUUCCUUCAGCAGCAGCCUGUUGUGCUGCUGGGCUGCUCAUCAUGUGAAGCCCAGCUCCAUGCAACACGAGUUAUUCAAUCACAGUUCCCAGGAAGCCCUGCCUGCACAGAGACACCAGGCCAGGCACUCUCCAUCACUGCUCUAAACUACAUUGACCACCCAGACUCCAGCUCCACAGCUGCCUCUUCCCAGAAGGAAGAGCUCAGCACAGCUAACAGCCAUGGGCUUGCAGUACAACAGACCAUCUUUUAGCUGGAAUGUGUCAUCCUGGCAGCAACAGGCUUUCAUGUCAUCCUGGCAUGAAAACUCGUAGCAAGACUUUGUGGUUAGGAGCAGGCUGGACAGAUGGAGAUAAGAAAUUAGUGAGGGUAAUCAGCCAUUGGAAUAAUUUACCCAGGGAACCAGUGCAGCCCAACCUGAUAACUUGAAAUCAAGACUGGGUACUUUCCUAGUAGAAUUUUGGAUUUGAUGCAGUGAUAACCAGCUGGGAAUGUAAAUACCUGCCAGGGGUCAGGUGAAGGUAUCUGUCCCCAGCUGGCUGAUACUCUGAAAAUCAACUGUGUGGUUACCUCAGGAAACAGGGAAAUAACCUCUCUGUAGGACCCAAUUGUCAAAACAAUAGAGCACAACUGCAUUUGCACUGAAGUUACUUCUGAGUACUUCAUUAAAAUAUUCAACAGGAGCUCAGUGAGGAGCUGCAAAUCGGAAAGGAAUUGCAAAACUUCCCAGGCAAAACCACUGAAAUAAACUAGCUGUGGAUAAUUUAGCCAAACAGUAAACACUUAGAAUCAAACAGCCUUAGAAAAAAAUGUGAUUCUAAUUAAGAAUUGGAAAUCACUUGUGGGCUGUUCCUUACAUUUUCCCUGGGAUAACUAUGGAGAGUGAAUGUAAUAUGAACAUAAACUAAUUAAAUAAAGCAGCCCAUUUUAAACAAGACUCCAGAGUAGAUUACAUUAAAAAGAAAAAAAAAAAAGGAAAUUAAAAAAUCAUCAAAAACUAUAGCAUAAUUUGUCUCUUUCCUGCUAGAAAGCACAUGAGAUAAGUGCAUUAUAAGAAAGGAUAAGAUUCAACAGAACAAGCACAAGAACAUCCACCUAAAGUUAGCAGAAUGAAAAAAAAAAAAGUCUGCAGAACAGACAUACCAUCAAAAUCUACCAGGAUGCACAAGAAACUCCCGGAGGAAGUAUUUGUGUCCCACUAUUUCAGAGAGCACAAGCAUCAACCUCAAGCCCAGUCGCCUGCUGUCACAAGCAACUGGACUGUAUAACCCCACUGAGAUUUAUCCAGACCACGAGGCUGCUGUACAGGCAGGACAGGACAAAUACCACCCUCAACCACCACCUGGCAAAACAAGGUUCUACAGAAGCCAGCUGAACUCUUCCUAACAUUAACAAAAACAAAGAAGAACUCAGAUUUGUUCCAACUUCAAGUCUGAUUAUGGAUGCCUCCUCCUCACCAAAUUCAGGCGCAGUUCUGAAAUCUGGGUCACCCAUAUAUUAUUUCUCCAAACCAAGCCACCUCCCUCCAAUGCAACCCUUUAAAAGGACUCUGCCCUUAUCCAAGCCAUCUCAGUCAUUUAGGUUAUGAGAAACUUCAAAACACCAAGGAAUCAGGUCACAAAACUUCCAACAACACAUUACACAUGUGGCUUGGUCCAGGCAGAACAGACACCCAGCUCCAGGAGAAGCCAACACGGGCAUCCACAUCCAGCAGCACCCCGGCAGAGUCUGCAACAAGUCAACAAAAAUGAGCUGAGCUCAGAUUUUUGACCCCAUAAUUCCUACCAGGUUUGAUGCAGUCUUAACCAAUCUCUGGGAAUAAACGAAGCAUCAAGCAAGACAAACAUGGGUGCUGGGAGGACAGUGGGUCAGGCCAUAAAAGUCACGAGGCAAGGAAGAAAACAAGGAGGUGUCCAGAGUCCAAGCACAGCACCCCCGCGACUCCCGGGCGGCAGCUCCCGGUGGGAGCUGAAAAACCGGCAAACACCGUGCGAUCUUGCUCCUGCGUGGGAGGCACCAUUUCUGCGGGUAGAGGCUCUUACUGCUGCUUGGCAGCUGAGCCCGGUACCGGGCCUCCGCUCCGGGCCCUCCCUGCUGCCGGCAGCGGGCGGGGGACCGGGGGUGCGGCGGGAGGGACGGGCGCUGCCGUCGGGGAGUGGAGCCCCCGCCAAGGAUGCGGCCUCCCGGGGCGGCCCCGGACCGGGCGGAUCGGAGCCCCCUUCGCCGUCCCCUCGGGGAGCACCGGAGCUCCCGCGGCGCCCGGGACCCCGAGGGGCUCCGCGCCCCGAUGGCGCCCGCACCGCGCACCCGCACUGGGCCCGCCGCGGGAGGAGCGACGCUCGCCUUCCCCAGAGAUCCCUCCUCCCGUCCCUCUCGGGUCCCAAAAUGGUGGGUCGGCAUAUCUCCCUCUCCUUCCUUCUCCCCCUGGUCCCGUCCCCCCGCUCUGCCCGCCCCCCGCUCCCGGAGCCCGCCCGUCGCCCCCGCCCUGGUCCCGCGGGGCAGCCGCCCCUCCGUCUGUCCUGGCCCAGGCUCCGCGGGGAUCCGGCACCAGGCCCGCGCCUCUCCCGGGAAUACGCCAACGCUGCCCCCGGCGGCCGACCUUACCUGCGCCGGGCUCACAUCGCGGGACCCGGGCCAACGGUGACCCUCCCCGGCGCCCCUCGGCCGCCGCCUCGCUGCCGCCCUGCGCGGGGCCGCAGGUAUAUCAUGAGUGCCGAGCGCGGCUCCAGGUGAGCCGGGCACACCUACAGGAAGGCAGGCGGGCCGCCCUGAUUGGCGUGCGAGGCCGGCGGCCGCGCUCCGACGGCACCGCGGCGGGGCAGGGCAGGGCAGGGAGGCCGAGGGGCCGUGGAGGACACGGCGGUUCUGGCCCCGCUCCUGUUUCUGGGGCCGGCCGGCCACAGGCCCUGACACGUCCGAGCGGAAGGUAGGCCACUUACCCUGUGGUCAUUUCUUCAGGCUUUCUGCUCCAGCUACGAACUCUAGAAAUAAAUUACUGUAAAGGAAAGGUGGAAUAUGGACAAAGUCACACCACUGCAGAGGAGGAUAAACAAAGCUGAAAUGUGCUUCCCUCUCUGUUCAGUGUCUUUGUACAAGUCCAGGAGGUGGAGAUCUCCAAGCCUGGAUGUGUGAUCCUGUAGUGCCCCCUCGUGGAAGCUGUUCCUGAUGCUGGUUCCUGGCUGCAUCCAGCUGAGAGAACCUGCACACAGAGCUGCACUGACACCACGAGCAGAGCUCAUGAGGAAGUGACCACAAGUACACACAGAAGAGGAGAUGAGGCUUUUGGAAGAAAAGAAGAUGGAACCAGAGCUCCAAUGGCAUGAACAAAGUAGUACAAACCUGGCAGCUCCACUCCUCAGAGGUACUUAGCAAGAGAUAAGCACCGAUUCCAGCUGUGUGACGUCCGCUUGAAAAAGAUGCCUAAAUUGAACCUCUUCUGAGGGUACUCCUCGUGUGCAAAAAAGGGUACAUUUCUGUUUAAUGCCUUUGUUCUACUUUCUUUUAACUCCCUGCUGCUCCCCAGGCUCCUGUUUAAUGGCAUGGAUUGCAUGGGGGCAUUACCAGCUUGAGGAAUCCUGAGGUGUUCCUUACCACCCACCCAAGACUGCAAUUUUCCCUCACUUGUGCCAGCCAUGCUGUUUGUGGAGCUGUGCUGAGCACUGGAUCAGGGAAGCAAUCCAAAUUAAAAAUAACCCAGUGGCAUGGCUGGCAAUGGCAAGAGCUUUAGCCAUCCAGGAUAAUCUGCAGUCACAAAUCAGCAAGAGCUGUUUGCUAUUUCAGAUGUCAUGAAAGCCCAGCCUCAGAGAUACCUAUUUAAUACAAGGAAUAUGAACCUUUCAACCAGUGAAGGAGCCUGGGGAAUGAGGAGGCAGGAAUCCUUUGCCCAUGUUCAUAAGGCACACAAGAGCAAACCUCACUGUGCCCAGAUGGCAGCACAAAACAUCUUCACACAGGCUUUGCUUUAGCAGUCCUUCACAUGAUGCUUUUGGAACAAAGGUUAGUGGCAGUGUGUGCCAUUCCACUGAUGGAUGUUCUUUAUUCUGUGGGUUAGGGAGAAAGCUAUGUGGAUUUUUAAGGGUACUGCAAAUAUGGGGGCUGUGCCAUCACCAAGAAAGGGAAUAAAAGAGCCUUCUUCACAGACAGCUUCAUGGUUCAGAGUGAAGUAACAAUUUGUGGAUGCAUUCCAGAAGAGGAUGUAUUCCUCUGCUCUAGAGAAACAAUGUCACGACUGUGAUGCACCAGCAUUAACAUUCAUGAUCACACCAGCAGUGACAUUACUGUCACCUACUGACAGACUUGGAGGAAGCAUCUGUAAUUAGUCAUUCUCUCUUGUAUUCCAAGCUAUGUCUGGUUUUCUUCUGGCAUCUCUCGAGUUCAUGCUUCAUGCCUCCCGAGUUGAGUAUUUUAAAGUAUCAGUCAUUUCCUUUUUCUUUCCCUCCUGCUUCUGACUUGGCACUUCACCUCUGCUCGCCCCAGGAAUGUUCCUGCUGGGAGGUGACUGACUUGAGCACUGAUGGUGAAGGUGGUGAAUUCAGAGACUCAGAGCCUGAGGAGUUUCAGGAUCUCUUCAGGUUACAUUUCUAGAGAAAGGAACUCACUUUCUCUCCACAUGCAUUAGUGGCUCUGGUCAAAACAAGGUGGAAGAUGCAGGUGAAACCACAAUCACAUUGGCAGCUGCAUCCCAAAUUAGCCAAAGGAAAGCAAGUGCCUGAAGCUUAGGGCAAGAUGUGGCUGCCCUGAGGCAAACCCUGAGUGCUUUCAAGCAAUCCCUGUUCUCAGAACAGCCCUAACAGGUAAUAUCAAGGCUGACCAUGCCAAGGAACUUGGAUUUAAGUGUCCAGACCAAAUACCAUCAUGUUUUACCAUCUUCUUUCACCUCUCUAAAAAUAUGAGGAGCUGUGUUCAUUGAUCUUAAUUCUUCCUUCUGUACACACAGGAAAAAUGUUCUAUUUCAGCCCCUUGAUCCCUGCAUUCCAUUGCUGCUUCCCUUUUCCCAAUAAUUGUUAAAAUACUUUUUUUUUCAGUAAAGCAUUUUGUGGUUCCUGUUUUACCCUAUGUUCACAUAAAGGCUUGAUCAUAUGUACAAAGAAUUGAGAAGAUGCCUGAAAUCCCUCUAAUGUGUAUUAUAUUUUUCCUGUUUUGUUUGGUAUUUCUGUCUGAAGGCAUCAGGAGAAAUCCAAAGGUCGUCUGUUAAAGAAAUCAGGCAAGAAAAGAAAGUAAUUGACCAGCAAAGAGGCACUUUCUUAAGCACAACAGCCAGGUACAAAGCUGUGGGAAGAAACUUCCCAGUCCUUGUACAGGAAAAGAUCUGCUAAGGCUGAGAAAAGGGACAUGGAAGGAUACACACAGGCCUGUCAAAAGCUCUGUCAUCUGUAAAAGCAGGGGCACAUUCUGUGUGCUUGGAGGUGCUCUGGGGUAAGCAGGGCAAGGCUGCCCUUUUGUGAGGGGAGACACUGACAGAACAGGGAAAGCACAAACAUCUCAGCCACAGGCAGGCAGAGUUCAGCAGCAUUGUGGAGAAGGUCAGCUGGAGGGAGAGACAGAGCAGAAAAUGUCCCAAGACAACACAUGAGCAGCAGGGCAACUGUAAGAGCUCUGGAAAGCAAAAAGAAGCAAGUCCAGGUAUGAGAGAUCAAUGUGGGAUCUGGAAAGUUGUGACCUUUCUUCCAUGCAGCUGUUAUCACCCCCAAAUUACAUUUUCCCAUCAGCUGCAGGAAGUCCAACCCUCCCCCAGUCUUCCUAGUUGUUCAUCCAAUUUCAAUCCCUUCUACUCUCCCUUCCCCUCAUGUGGUCGCCUGGUUCAGCCAUUCACCACCGCAAUGGCAAAAUGUUUUGUGACACCUUGACUUUGGGUCUGUUGCCUCUUUUGGCCUCCCUUUGCUCAGUCUUCUGAAAUUUCCUUUAGUUCCUUUUUUUUUUUUCCAGAGAUGGGGGCUCCUGCUGAUGUGUCUCUGGCUAUUCAGACCAGUGUUGCUCAAGUUAAGAAGAAACAGAGCCUAAAGGAAAAGUCUCCUGUGCAUGCAGGGACACUUUUGUUUGAUACAUCUCAAAAAACUGUUUUAGAGAAUAGGCAUAAAAAUACUUCUAAAAAUUUACUGAACACACAAAAACACACCUCUUGUCCAAGAUCAAAACAAAUCUGUUUUUUCCAGUCACAAUGAAGCAAAGAGUGUAAAAAGCUGUAUUUCAGUCAUCACUAUUACAUGUAUUUUUUUCCUAGCAGCGGACUGGAAAACUGGAUCCCAUAUAACCCAAGUGGCACUGAGAAAACAGCCUCCUCAGAACCAGGUUCUUCUACCAGCAGGAUGGUAUGUCACUGCAGAGGAAAAAAGACAAACCACUUUCCCUUAUAAAGGAAAGGCCUGGACCAGGAGCUGCACCUUGCCUCACACCCAGACCGCACCCAAGGAUGCUGCCAGCACCUGUGGCCCUCUGUGUGGCAUAAGGAGAAGUUGUGACUGAAGCCUUUCCUGCAGUGGCAGCAUCUGAAAGGUUUCUCCUCCAGUGGGUGAGGGCAGAGCUGUCACCCAAGCAGGUCCCACCCUUGGCUCGCUGCUGCCCUGCAGCAUCCCUGCUCCUCUGAAGCCUUUCUGGGACCGAGUCUCUGGGAGAAGGGACGCGUUCCUGUUACAGCUUGGAGGAGAAGCUGCCCUCAUGAGAAAGUCCCCACAGAGCUCUGCUUCCCCCAGCCCAUCUCACUGGAGACCAGGCUUUCCUUAAACACCUCCAGUUGACUUCACCUCCUCCCUGGGCGCCUCAUCACACUUUCAGUGAAGAAAUCCUUCCUGAUGUCCAACCUGAACCUCCCCUGGUACAGCUUGAGGCCAUUUCCUCUAGUUUUGUCCUUUGUUACCCAGGAGCAGAGCCCAACCUCCACCCUGCUGCCCCCUCCUGUCAGGGAGCUGAGCAGAGCCAGAAGGCCCCCCUGAGUCUCCUUUUCUCCAGGCUGAGCUCACCCAGCUCCCUCAACCACUCCUCAUCAGAUUUGUGCUACAGACCCUUCCCCAUUUCAGUUCCCUUCCCUGGACAUGCUCCAGCCCCUCCUCAAUGUCCAUCUCACAGUGAAGGGCUCAGAAUUGGACACAGGAUUUGAGGUGUGGUUUCACCAGUGCUCAGUCCUACAGCCUCUCCUCUGCUAUGCAGCCUUCACAAGUUCCUUUGCACUGCCACAUUUUUCUGUUGUCUCAGCUGUUCUCUUCACCUGACACUCCCUGGCAUCUCUUUAUAACACAAUUGUCUCUGAUUGGGCCCUCACAAUGCUUCAUUCCACCUCCAGAAAAAAGCUCUGGGGAGACCUUACUGUAGUCUUUCAAUAUAAAUAGUUUCCACCUUUCAUGUAGGCUCCCUUCAGGUAUAGCACAGGGUAAAAUCUUACCUGUCUUUUCAGAAUUUGCCAAUGUUUUAAGAACCCUCUGGCUUUUCAGGUGGGGCAUUUUGGACUUACCCCAUGGCUUCAGUGGGUUUUAUUCUGCCAGCCAGCCCUGGCAAGACUGCGACAGAUGUCUGCCUGCAUUUGAGUGCAAUGCAGUUUCCUUGAGUACCCAGGUGGUGGCAGAUUUGGAGUAUAUUAAAUCAGUCCUUUCAACCUGUUUUGCAAUGGAACCAAACUUUUUCUACAGGGGUUAAAGAUGAAAUUGUUACUCUUUUAUUCCUCUGACACCAUUUAAAUGGCUUCCAUUUAAAAUGGGAAUUCUCUGCUUUCAAGUAUAAGUAGUCUCCAAACACAAGUUAUCUUCUAUUUGCUGUUCUUAUUCAAUAAAGUUUGAUUUAGCAGAAAUUGACUAGACUUGUUGGGGAAGGGCUAUUUAUGACUUUCUUUAUGUUUAAAGUAAUUAAUUAAGUGCUAUUAAUUUAAAGCAUCUGUGUGUGGAUUUAAUUUCUGUGUCUGCUGUAUGAUGCAAAAUAUCCAUAGUAUUUAAUAAGGUCUCCAUAGAAUUUAGGGGGACACCAGCACAUUAAAUAACAUGGCGCUUUCAGAGGGAGGGUGGGCACAGAUGAUGCCUGUGAUAGUUUGAUUUCUUGCUUUUGUACAUUCCAAGGAACUUCUUGAGUUUAGUUCUUUCUUCAAAUGCAGCAGCUAAGCUGUGACUGCUGCACAAAUUUUCCUGGAUGACAAAUAUAGGGUGAAUAUUUUCAGUCUCUUUGGGUUUGUGCAGCCUUCUCUGGUUUUUGCUCCUGUGGGCGUCCCAGCAGCACCACUGGAGCUUAUGUUGUGCUGAUACUCACCAUGGCUUUUGAAGUCUUUUCCUGAGUAUGUGCAUCCUAUGAUAGAUUCUCCAUUCCUGUAAGUGUAGUCUACCAUCACCGAAAAUUAAAUCCUCUGCCUCUGAAAAAUUCACUUCAUAAUCCUUCCUUGAAAAACAAGAAAAUCCUCAAAAACCAGGGAGCCUGCCAAAGUGCAAAAUGCAUCUACAAUAUACUACCCAAACCAAAAUGCACGGAGUAAAAAUAAACAUGGUAAAUCAAGCUUUAAUCCCAGUUUUAGACCCCUUUGAUGCUUUUCCAAUCGUUUGUUCAUCCCAAUUUUUCAAGUGUUUCCAGGAAGCAUUAAUUCCAAUAGCCAUACUGUGUGUAACCAUGCUUUGUGCAAUGCCUUAAUUUCCUUGGGAAUAUGGUGCGCUCUCUUUUGUCCUGGAGAUUUUGGAAAGCUGAAAUUUGGGCCAUAUUCAGUAACAAAAAGGCAAAACCAUGCAAUAAAUCAUGCUAAAGUUCAUUCUCUAUGAAAGUGCUUCCCAUUUGAGAGAAUUGCAUUAAUGCUGCUCUAGACUGAAAGUUGUUUGUGAUAGGAAACACCAUUUCACUUUGUAUUUGUAUAAAUAAAACACAGUUGUAGAUCCCCACCUGCUGGGUUUUUUGCAUAUUGCUGCUAAAAUUAGACCAAACUACUGAAUUUGAGAGGAAAAAGUCUGGCUGUAACUCCUGCUUGUUAAGGAAAGAAAGAACUGUAUAUAAUAUUCAAGCUGAUGAACUUGUCACUCUGGUGACCAUGCCAUUGAGAUCUUGGGCACAUUCCCAAUAGCUCUGCUGAGACGGAAAAGCAGCCACUUUCGCCUGGGUUGGAAGUGACCUCAAAGAUCAUCUAGAUCCUGCCAUUGGAUCCUCAUCAAGGAAGACAAGCUGCAACACAGCCAUGUCUCUGUUAUCUGUUUAAGCUCUGUGUAAGUGAAGGGCAAAUGCGCAGCUCCUUCCCUUGCUGGUGUUUCAAGUUUUAUGAUUUGGCUCA